GGUUUUAACCCAGUAUCUCAAGGUACUAAGGGCGUCCGACCUUCCGACUUGUGGUUGUGUCGAAAACCUCAAUUUUUGGACCGCCUUCCUGGGGUUAUCCGGGAGGGCAAA
rfam:Ancylostoma duodenale strain Zhejiang A_duodenale-1.0_Cont33169.1, whole genome shotgun sequence.